UUUCUCUUAGCUUAAUGUUUAAAGCAUUAGUUUGAAGAGCUAAAGAUAAUUGAUUAUUAGGGAGAC
rnacentral:tRNA from 1 species